rnacentral:rRNA from 1 species
UACGUAGGGGGGCAAGCGUUGUCCGGAAUUAUUGGGCGUAAAGAGCGCGUAGGCGGUCCGAUAAGUCGGCUGUGAAAAGUCAGGGGCUCAACCCUUGAAAGCCGGCCGAUACUGUCGGACUAGAGUCCGGAAGAGGCAAGUGGAAUUCCCGGUGUAGCGGUGAAAAUGCGCAGAUAUCGGGAGGAACACCAAUGGCGAAGGCAGCUCGCUGGGACGUUACUGACGCUGAGACGCGAAAAGCGUGGGGGAGCAAACAGG